ACGGGCCGCUGCCCUUAGACGCCCAACGUUCGUCUGCUGCGGCCUCUGUCGCGCUGUGACCUGUGCCCAGUCGUAGGAAGGAUGCGGGGGACCCAGGAAAGUUCGAAAUGGACAUGGAAAGAGAUUGAUAAUAGACAAAGCAGAGAAGACGCUCACUGGCUCCAUCUAGAGGACCCUGCUGGUACAUGAGGCUAACACAGCUGUCCCGAUAUUUGAACCACCCUGGGAUCCUAGCGAGGCUGCAGGGAGAGUCAGACUAGAACACUACAGCGAUGUAUCUUCACAGGCCUGAGAACCGGGGUCCCUAAGCAAAAGAGCCUAAAUAAAAUCCAAGAAAUUCAGCAACAAUCGAUGAAGACCCCUCUGAGUUCCUGGAGAGGAUUUAUCAAGCUUAUAGGCACUAUACAGAUGCAGAUCUGGAAGACCCCAAAAAUCUUAGAAUGGUUAACAUGACUUUUAUAGGACAAAGUGCUCCAGAGCUCAAAAAAAAGUUGCAAAAACUAGACAGAGCAUUAGGGAUGGAUCCUUCCCAGCUUACAGAUAUUGCCUUUAAGGCGUACAAUAACAGAGAACAUCAGACGAAGCAAGAAGAUGCCAAAAGGAAUGCUGCUUUCCUGGCUGCCGCCUUGAGCUGAUGGAAUUCAAACCAUCUGAAAGGAAAACCAGGCCAGUCAAAGGGAGGAGCCCCGGGUACAAACGACAGUGGGGAACGAGCUGAUUGACUUCUUGAUGCUGGUGCCACCUAUUCUGUUCUGAACACCAAAUUAGCAAAGAAAAUGACAAGAUUGACCCCAGUCAGUGGAGUAUCUGGUGAAAUCCAAGAUUGUUCAUUUCUAGAACCCCUAGAGUGCCAGGUGGGGGAUUUAACCCUGAAACAGUUUUCUGUAUUUGCCAGAAUGCCCCACCCCACUUCUGGGUUGAGACUUCUGUAAACUGAACGCACAAUAACCUUCGCUCCAGGACAACGUGGUGCACAAGCCUCUCCGGAGCAGUCCCUGAGUUUGCAGAUGCUUCGCUGGGACCUCGGAGUCAGAACCAGAACUGUUACCACUGAAAUCUACGAGAAGGUAAGGCCCGAUGUGUGGGCAAACGGGACCCAGGGGAAAGCAAGGAAUGCCCAGCCAGUACGGAUACCCUUAGAGGAAAAGAAGAUAAAGCCCAUCUGAAACAGUAUCUGCUAAAACAGGAGGCUCAAAAGGGCAUACAGCCUUUCAAAAGGUUUUCAGAGGCAGGAUUAAUCAGACCCUGUCAGCUUCCAUAUGACACCCCUAUUCUCCCCGUGAAGAAGCCAAAUUCUAAUGGACGUCGCUUCAUUCAAGAUCUGCGUGCCAUAAAUGAGGUGGUUCAAGAUUUGCACCCUGUGGGGCCCAGUCCUUACACCAUGUUAACAAAUAUACCAGAAGAAUAUGGUUGGUUUU